AAACGCGCCGAGACCUUCACUUCGUCCAUUUUGGAGCAGCUUCUUCUUUGCUGUGUCGACCACGAUGAGCAUGAAUUGCAUGGGCUCAUGGGAAGUUUCUGUGCCAUCUGCUGGGAUGAGUAGACCAAGAUCGGUUAAAUUCAAGGCAA